AUUGAACGCUGGCGGCAGGCCUAACACAUGCAAGUCGAGCGGAGCGGCGGACGGGUGAGUAAUGCCUAGGAAUCUGCCUGGUGGUUGGGGAUAACGUCCGGAAACGGGCGCUAAUACCGCAUCCUAUCAGAUGAGCCUAGGUCGGAUUAGCUAGGUGGUGGGUUAAAGGCCUACCAAGGCGACGAUCCGUAACUGGUCUGAGAGGAUGAUCAGUCAGCCUGGAAGUGAGACACGGGCCAGACUCCUACGGGAGGCAGCAGUGGGGAAUAUUGGGGAAUGGGCGAAAGCCUGAUCCAGCCAUGCCGCGUGUGUGAAGAAGGUCUUCGGAUUGUAAAGCACUUUAAGUUGGGAGGCGGUACCAACAGAAUAAGCACCGGCUAAAUUCGUGCCAGCAGCCGCGGUAAUUC
rnacentral:rRNA from 1 species